GCGGAGGAGGCGGUGCCAGUGCCCCCCCCCCCGUCCCGACUACGCAAACAACAACAAUCCCUAGUUGAAACAUUUAGCAAUAGCAGGUUGUAACAUUUUUGCAGUUCAGCUCUGAAAGGAAAAGCGGAGGGCCUGAUUGGACCACGUUGAUGUUGGUACAGGACCAGAGAGCUAAACGGGGACUGCAGACUCAACUCAGUUUGGGACAGCCGAGGUGGUUUGGAGACCUUGUUUCUGACUUUAGACCUAGGUGUUGAGACGGAGGGUUACGAUGGCUGUUAGCAGGUUUGACAUAGAUGCGCCGCGGUGGGAUCAGUCCAAGUUUAUUGGCAGACUGAAGCACUUUGUCAACAUCACAGACUGGAGGACAGUACUACUGCCACGACUGGACGAGUCUAAAGCACUGGUGGAGAGCUGCAGAGCAGCUUCCCUUCCCCCACAGAGGAACAGCUGCAUUACGCCAAGAAGCUCUAUGACUCCGCCUUUCACCCAGACACCGGCGAUUGCAUGAACCUGAUUGGUCGAAUGUCCUUCCAAGUGCCCGGAGGGAUGGCCAGAACAGGCGGUAUGCUACAGUUCUACAGUCCCUGCUCUCGUUUAACGUUCUAGUCAACUACACCAACAGAAACACUGCUUCCCCCAUCACCUCCAAUCAGAUAGGAGUGGCCUAUUUAACUGCAACUAGAACUGCACUAGCUAUUGCUGUGGGACUCAACCUCUACACAAAGAGAGCUCCUGAAUGGCAUCGCUCUAACAGAUGAGAAUGGAAACAAACUGGGUCAUUCCAAGGUAAUGUCUGAAUAAUUAAAUAUUCUACUAAAUAUCGUAUUUCUGACUGUUAUACAAGAGCAGAAAAAUUAACAUUUUCCUCUUCCUCGCGACAGAAAGCAGCUGUGAAGGUGGUCAUUUCCCAGGUUACCAUGGCAGCACCGGGCAUGAGUAGUGUCAGAGGUCGAAGAGGGAGGGCUGUAGAAUUUGAGAUCAGUCCUCACUCCAUAGACAAUGGAAAGUGGAGCGUGAUCCUGUUACUCCCUACAAUGACUCAUUCCUCUCCUUCUUUUUCCACUUGCCACUCCUUUAUCUACUUUCUCUCCUCCUGUGCUCCCUCUCUUCUUUCCCCCUCUCUUCUCCCAGUCAUUCUCCCCAUCAUGCAGAGACUGGAUGAUAACAAGUUUAUGCAGAGGAUCACCUUUGUCCACGGACCUUAACAAGUGAUAAUGGUGGGAGCGUUCCUGGUCUUCAUGGUGCCGGUAGCCUGGUCCCUGUUCUCUCAGCAAUGGUAAGUAGCUUGUCGACUGGGCAGUGUUCAGUAGGGCCCCUCCACGAUGUAGUAGCUGUUUUAGCAUCUCAUCUUCACGAUCAGCUACGGCAUGUUGUAGGUGUUGUGGAAAUUCUUACACAGGGACACUCAAAGUCGAUCUUAAAUUAAUCAUUGUUUAUUGACAGCGCGCUGAAGGGGUUCCAACAAACCUGAUGAACCAUAAUGAACGUCUGGCAGAAGCUCUAACGGGGCAGUCCUCUUAGUUCUCUUACAUACUGCAGGGCAAGUCAUAUUUACACGAUUUAGCUUAUUCAACAUGAAUUAAUCAUUAACGUUUGCUUCAUUGACUGACCAAUACCUCACGAGGCUUCUUCUCUCUAAGGUGAGACCUUGAAACUGAAAUAUCUUUCGUUCUCAAAACAAGAUCUGGGCGUACUGCCAAAUUGCAGAUAUUGAUAAGUGAGGAUUUGUUCAAUAAGUCACUUGCGUGAACACAGAAAUGAGUUAUUAGAAAAGCACAAGUAUAACAUUUCCAUCACAUAGGAUAGUGCUCAAGAUCACACCUACAGUAACAUAUUAGACGUGGUGUGGAUCUCACUCUGUCUUCCUCUCACUUUCUUUCAGCUCCAUGGGCAGUGUACAAAAUGUCUACUUCAACAAGGGCCUCUGAACACACACACACCUGCCUUCUUAAUCAUCAGCCAAACAGGGAGAGCAUCUGUAGAAAAAAAUGAGCCAAUCAGCAUCCUCAGCGAUGUCCAAUAGGAACGCUUGUAGGAGAAAUAGCUUUCUCCUGGUUUGUCUUUGUUUAUUUUCAACAAAUCUUUGUGAUUGAAGUGGAGAUGUUCUCCAGAAGACAGAGAUGUGCCACUGUACUCCAAACUGUGCCUUUAUCCACACUGGAGUACAGUGGCACAUCCCAUCCCUGCAUUGAGGUGCGUUUUUGACCCAUAUCUCAUGACGGCUCCACGUGUCUUAAUGUAACCAUGACUCCAUUCUGACACCAGAGCAGCUCGGUUUAAAUAAGUGUAACGCUAGGGUCAGUCUCUUCUGGCAAUUGGGUGGGUGUGUGUGUGUGUGUAAUAAAUGUGUAUAUAUAUAUAUAUAUAUAUUCUCUUUUUAUGCUUCUGUCCAUAAUGUGGACAGAAGUGACGCUACUAACCAUGUACAGUUUGUGCUGUCUGAAUCUUCAAUCACACUUUUCAACCUCCUUUAGAAAACUGUCUGGAAGGACAAUGACCCUUUGGACAUUGUGUGUGUGUGUGUGUGUGUCCCAAAUAUAAUUUGCGUCUCAAAUGCCACUCUAUUUCCUACAUAGUACACUUCUUUUGACCAGAGCCCUUUGGGUCCCAUUCAGAAGCAGCCUGUGUUAGUUUAAUCUGAGGUCAAGAGUCACUAUAACCAACUGUGUGUGUGUACAUGUCUCAGUGCAAAUGAAGUGUAGUGUAUUGCCCAAACAAUGUGAUGGCAUAUCAGGAAUAGAUGUUUACUAAAGCCAUCAUGCAGGUGUUUUAUAAUAGAAUUAUAGAUGGUUCUGUGGUUUUGCCCUAAGAUCUAUGCAUCAGUGUUCUGAGUCUAUGGUUCCACAGUUUAGUGUUCUAGAAUGCUUGUGUUCACAUACUGAAGUGAAGCGAGCCUAGCCAAUGUACGUUUGGCUGAGUGGUGAAGAAGUCAUUGAUUCCACCAGAUUUCUAUUGACAAGUAUAAUUCUCAUUGACUAAACUGUCUUGGUGCAUUUUGUUUCAGGAUUCUAGUUCCACCCUCUCUGUACUGCAGUCAGUCAAGAACUGAAAGACUGGGAUAUACAUGGGUAUUAUACACUGUGAUUCUUCUCUAAUGGAAUUAGCCCCUGCCAAGUCCUCAACAACUGGAUGUUCCAGUUUUCAGGGGAAAUGGAAAGAGCUUGUGACGCGACUUCUGUUUUUGGAUGUUAACAAGCCGACACUCAACUUAACUCCGUAACAUUUACUGUAUUGGUUGCAGUGGAGAAGAGAACCUCUCCCGUCAUUUUUCUUCUCUCAUCAAGAUCAGUAUUGUCUUGUUCAAGACAACUGGGAACUCGGAGACAAACGAGCUCCGACUGGGAAAAAAUGAUUUGAACGUCCGUCCUGCUCGGAGUUCCAAGUUGGAAACUCUUGCAUCUUUCCACAGCUCCGAGCCGAAGAUCACCGACGUCAUGAUUUGACCACGGUUAUUUCCGAGUUCCCAGUUGUCUCUAAAGCACCACAAGUCAGGGAUCACUGGCGCUUUCGAGACAACUGGGAACUGGGGGGGAAACCUGGUCAAAUCAUUUCAGUGAUCUUCAGGUCGGGAAGUCGAAGCUGUAGAAAGAUGCCGGAGUUUACGAUCUUGAAUUGCGAGUUGGAUGACAGUUGGAGCUCAUUUUCAGAAGUCCUAAUUCCCAGGUGAUUUUUGGACGCAGCCCUUGUUUAAGGCGUUUCUUUUACGCCUGCGAUGUUAGGUUACAUCCUUACUGAUGUAGAAGUUGUGGUAAUACAAACGUACCACCAGGGGACAAUGUCUUCUUGACAGAGAGCAACAGAAACUGAAACGCCCGCUUCCCAGAUGCAGCCCUAUUCCCUAUAUUAAAAAGGAAUUUAACUAGGCAAGUCAGUUAACACAUUCUUAUUUACAAUGACAGCCUUCCCCGGGCCUAAUGUGCACCGCCCUAUUGGACACCCAAUCACAGCCAGAUGUGACACAGCCUGGAUUCAAACCAGGGAGUGUAGUAAUGCCCAACUCAACUCUGGACCUUGAACCCUGUGACCCUUCUUUUUAAAAAUUGUUUCCCUCUAAUUAGGUUUUGAUUUAGACCUGGGACACCAGAGCCCUAUAUAGCCUGCUCAAGUUGUAGAACUGAAGUAUAUGCAUUUGGUGGUUGUAAUAAAGGUGUUCUGAACAAAAA